AAAGGUAAGCUACUAAGAGCGAAUGGUGGAUGCCUUGACUGGUAAAGGCGAUGAAGGACGUACUAGACUGCGAUAAGCUACGGGGAGCUGUCAAGAAGCUUUGAUCCGUAGAUUUCCGAAUGGGGCAACCCAAUGUAUAGAGAUAUACAUUACCUAUAUAGGAGCGAACGAGGGGAAUUGAAACAUCUUAGUACUCUCAGGAAAAGAAAUCAAUAGAGAUUGCGUCAGUAGCGGCGAGCGAAAGCGCAAGAGGGCAAACCCAGUGCUUGCACUGGGGGUUGUAGGACUGCAAUGUGCAAGAGCUGAGUUUAGCAGAACAUUCUGGAAAGUAUAACCAUAGAGGGUGAUAGUCCCGUAUGCGAAAAACAAACCUUAGCUAGCAGUAUCCUGAGUAGGGCGGGACACGAGGAAUCCUGUCUGAAUCCGGGUCGACCACGAUCCAACCCUAAAUACUAAUACCAGAUCGAUAGUGCACAAGUACCGUGAGGGAAAGGUGAAAAGAACUGAGGUGAUCAGAGUGAAAUAGAACCUGAAACCAUUUGCUUACAAUCAUUCAGAGCCCUAUGUAGCAAUACAG
rnacentral:rRNA from 1 species